CUACACUUCACCAAGAACACACUAUAAGUUGAAAGAAUAUAUAGACCAAAUAAGGCUGCAUUUGGAAACCUCAAAUAUAUACAUAAGUGAACCACCUCAUGAACCAAGUUUCAUCACAGAAGCCAUAACCAAUCAUGGAAGUUUUGAAGAGUAGGAGGAGCAAUAUCUGCAUCAAAGUCAAAGGUGUCUGCCCAUAAGACUUACCGAACAGGUAUUACUGGAAUUCCCAAUUCUGAUCUCUGGUUGCUGAUGGGGGCUCUUCUACUGUUCUGCAUCCUGAACUUCCAUACUAGGUAAUUUGUUGAUCAGAGGACAGAGCAUCUCCCAUAUCAGUCACAACUCCAGUGUAAGUGGCCAUCCUGACUGC